rnacentral:rRNA from 1 species
AUUGAACGCUGGCGGCAGGCCUAACACAUGCAAGUCGAGCGGAGCGGCGGACGGGUGAGUAAUGCCUAGGUUUCUGCCUGGUAGUGGGGGAUAACGUCCGGAAACGGGCGCUCAUACCGCAUACUAUCAGAUGAGCCUCGGUCGGAUUAGCUAGUUGGUGGGGUAAAGGCCUACCAAGGCGACGAUCCGUAACUGGUCUGAGAGGAUGAUCAGUCACACUGGUACGGUGGACCGGUCCAGACUCCUACGUGGUGUAGCAUUGGUGAAUAUUGGACAAUGGGCGAAAGCCUGAUCCAGCCAUGCCGCGUGUGUGAAGAAGGUCUUCGGAUUGUAAAGCACUUUAAGUUGGGAGGCGUUACCAACAGAAUAAGCACCGGCUAACUUCGUGCCAGCAGCCGCGGUAAUAC